rnacentral:rRNA from 1 species
GACGAACGCUGGCGGCGUGCUUAACACAUGCAAGUCGAGCGGUAAGGCCCUUUCGGGGGUACACGAGCGGCGAACGGGUGAGUAACACGUGGGUGACCUGCCCUCAGCUCUGGGAUAAGCCUGGGAAACUGGGUCUAAUACUGGAUAUGACUCCACGGUGCAUGUCGUGGGGUGGAAAGCCUUGUGCGGCUGAGGAUGGGCCCGCGGCCUAUCAGCUUGUUGGUGGGGGAUGGCCUACCAAGGCGACGACGGGUAGCCGGCCUGAGAGGGCGACCGGCCACACUGGGACUGAGACACGGCCCAGACUCCUACGGGAGGCAGCAGUGGGGAAUCUUGCGCAAUGGGCGAAAAGCCUGACGCAGCGACGCCGCGUGAGGGAUGACGGCCCU